GCUCGUAGUCGGAUUCGGGGCGGGGCGACCGGUCUGCCGAUGGGUAUGCACUGGUCGGCGCGUCCUUCCUUCCGGAGACCGUGCCUACUCUUAACUGAGCGGGGGCGGGAGACGGAUCGUUUACUUUGAAAAAAUCAGAGUGUUUCAAGCAGGCGUCUCGCCUUUGCAUGGAUUAGCAUGGGAUAAUGAAAUAGGACUUUGGUGCUAUUUUGUUGGUUUCGAACACCGAAGUAAUGAUUAACAGGGACAGUCAGGGGCACUCGUAUUCCGUCGAGAGAGGUGAAAUUCUCAGACCAAUGGAAGACGAACAACUGCGAAAGCAUUUGCCAGGGAUGUUUUCACUGAUCAAGAACGAAAGUUAGGGGAUCGAAGACGAUCAGAUACCGUCGUAGUCUUAACCA
rnacentral:rRNA from 1 species